rnacentral:rRNA from 1 species
UACAGAGGGGGCAAGCGUUAUUCGGAAUUAUUGGGCGUAAAGGGCGCGUAGGCGGCUUUGCAAGUGACGGGUGAAAGCCCUCGGCUUAACCGAGGAACUGCCUGUCAGACUGUAAGGCUUGAGACCGGGAGAGGUGAGUGGAAUUCCCAGUGUAGCGGUGAAAUGCGUAGAUAUUGGGAGGAACACCAGUGGCGAAGGCGGCUCACUGGCCCGGUACUGACGCUGAGGCACGAAAGCGUGGGGAGCAAACAGG